AUCUAUCAUUCUUAAAUCAUUUAGCAAGUCAUGUCUCUCAAAUAUCCCAACUUAUUGUACUCAAAAUCCAAACUACUUAACUAUUUUCAGAUUUUCUCAUGUUCAAGCAGUUACUAACAUUCAGGUUCCAAUUUAUCAGAGAGCAUAUACAAAUGAAGACAGAAAGGAAAAAGAAUAGCACCAGCUUAAUGCGAGAGAUAUCAAAAGAAAAAAAGUUGUCUUUUACAUCAACUAUACAAAUUAAGACAGAAAGGAAAAAGAAUAGCACCAGCUUAAUGCGAGAGAUAUCAAAAGAAAAAAAGUUGUCUUUUACAUCAACGUUGCUAAGAAGAAUGCAGACUAAAAUCUGAUAGAAUAACUGAUCCCUUACCUGCCCAAAACUGCAGUAAGAUAUUCAAAUCACAUAGAAAACGGAAAUUAGAGAAA
rnacentral:lncRNA from 1 species